rnacentral:rRNA from 1 species
GAUGAACGCUGGCGGCGUGCCUAAUACAUGCAAGUCGAGCGAACGGACGAGAAGCUUGCUUUUCUGAUGUUAGCGGCGGACGGGUGAGUAACACGUGGAUAACCUACCUAUAAGACUGGGAUAACUUCGGGAAACCGGAGCUAAUACCGGAUAAUAUUUUGAACCGCAUGGUUCAAAAGUGAAAGACGGUCUUGCUGUCACUUAUAGAUGGAUCCGCGCUGCAUUAGCUAGUUGGUAAGGUAACGGCUUACCAAGGCAACGAUGCAUAGCCGACCUGAGAGGGUGAUCGGCCACACUGGAACUGAGAAACGGUCCAGACUCCUAAGGGAGGCAGCAGUAGGGAAUCUUCCGCAAUGGGCGAAAGCCUGACGGAGCAACGCCGCGUGAGUGAUGAAGGUCUUCGGAUCGUAAAACUCUGUUAUUAGGGAAGAACAUAUGUGUAAGUAACUGUGCACAUCUUGACGGUACCUAAUCAGAAAGCCACGGCUAACUACGUG